UACGUAGGGUGCAAGCGUUAAUCGGAAUUACUGGGCGUAAAGCGUGCGUAGGCGGCUAUGUAAGACAGAUGUGAAAUCCCUGGGCUUAACCUAGGAACUGCAUUUGUGACUGCAUUGCUAGAGUGUGGUAGAGGGAGAUGGAAUUCCGCAUGUAGCAGUGAAAUGCGUAGAUAUGCGGAGGAACACCAAUGGCGAAGGCAAUCUCCUGGACCUGCACUGACGCUCGAUGCACGAAAGCGUGGGGAGCAAACAGG
rnacentral:rRNA from 1 species